GUUACGGAAGUAGCGGUUUUGGAAUGCGAAGUGUUACCGGAAAUCGAUAUAAAGUCGGAUGCGUUUCAGUCGCCGGAGUAUCGAUCACUCAGAGAGAAAUUCGUGCUUUCCAAACUCCCAGAUUUUCAAGUAAUCGACGAUUACAUAUAUUAUCGUACAGGGUUUUCCGUGUUGGAUUCUGACCCAGCCGACGAGUCGUGGAAAUUAUUUGUUCCCGAAGCCUUGAGACAGGGCGUAAUUAAAGCUGCGCAUGACCAACCUUCCUCUGCACAUUGUGGGAUUGCCAAAUGCCUCGACCAAAUAAGGCAACGAUUUUACUGGCCAAAAAUGGUUAUAGACGUCCGCGAAUAUAUUUCCGCAUGUGAUGUAUGCCAGACCACAAAACAUCCCACACGCUCUCUCAAACCUCCUAUGGGCGCUAGAGUAGUUAGCGAACGUCCCUUUCAACGGUUGUACAUCGAUUUCAUUGGUCCCUUUCCUCGAAGCAGAAGGGGCAACAUAGGAAUAUUUAUCAUCCUGGAUCACUUCUCAAAAUUUACCUUCUUAAAGGCGGUCAAGAAAUUUACUUCACAGAUAGUGAUUGACAUAUUGAGGGAAGAGAUAUUUUCAUGUUAUGGAGUGCCGGAAGUGCUAGUGAGCGAUAACGGUACGCAGUUUAAAAGUAGUGAUUUUUCUAAAUUCCUAUUGAAGUACGGUGUUCAGCACUUAUGUACAGGGGCGUAUGCUCCACAGUCGAAUGCCGCGGAAAGGGUUAACCGAUCGAUUAAUGCCGCGCUCAGAGCGUACGUUCGUACUGACCAUCGUGAAUGGGAUGUGUUCCUUAGUAGCAUAAACUGUUCGUUGAGAAAAUCAAUACACCAAUCAGUUGGCAUGGCACCAUAAUUUGUGGUCUUUGGUCAGCACAUGAUUUCACAUGGCCAAGAUUACAAAAUGUUGCGAGAAGUCGAAUUACUCAACGAGGGUGAGGGAAAAUUGUCAAGAGCUGACGAAUUUCAGAAGAUUCGCUCAAACAUCGAGAAACACCUGACAAAAGCUUACGAGAGAAAUCAACGCACUUACGACCUGAGAUCCAAGC
rnacentral:lncRNA from 1 species